ACAAGACGGAGGAGCAUGUGGUUUAAUUCGAUGAUACGCGAGGAACCGUUACCUGGGCUCGAACGUAAGAUGACUGUAGGUGAAAGCUUACAUCUCUUCGGAGCAUUUUACGAGGUGCUGCAUGGUUGUCGUCAGCUCGUGCCGUGAGGUGUCGGGUAAGUCCCAUAACGAGCGCAACCCUACCUUUAGUUGCCAUCAGGUAAUGCUGGGGACUCUAAAGGAACUGCCUACGCAAGUAGUGAGGAAGGCGGGGAUGACGUCAAAUCAGCACGGCCCUUACGUCCAGGGCUACACACGUGCUACAAUGGCCGAUACAGAGGGCAGCUACCUGGUGACAGGAUGCAAAUCUCCAAAGUCGGUCUCAGUUCGGAUCGGAGUCUGCAACCCGACUCCGUGAAGUUGGAUUCGCUAGUAAUCGCGCAUCAGCCAUGGCGCGGUGAAUACGCUCCCGGGCCUU
rnacentral:rRNA from 1 species